GACAGAGGGUGCGAGCGUUGUUCGGAAUACUGGGCGUAAAGCGCGCGCAGGCGGCCUUUUAAGUCUGACGGUGAAAUGCCGGGGCUCAACCCCGUGCCCGCCGCGGAUACUGGGAGGCUGGAGACACGUAGAGGCAAGCGGAAUUCCGGGUGUAGCGGUGGAAUGCGUAGAGAUCCGGAAGAACACCGGAGGCGAAGGCGGCUUGCUGGGCGUAGUCUGACGCUGAGGCGCGAAAGCGUGGGGAGCGAACAGG
rnacentral:rRNA from 1 species